AAAACCUCCUGCCGGGUAAGAUGCCUUCAUUAAGUACGAUAUAAUUUGUGUUAGUGUGUGCGAAAUGACGUAAACCGAUCAAUAUAUAACGUAGUGAAAUGCUGUAUACGUUCGACGAAACGGCCAUGAUUAGACCAUAGGCCUAAUCCAAGCCGACGUAGCUUGAACAACGGCCAGCAAGAGAUCAGGCCAUCAGGUAAGGGAGCUUUUUACUAGCGUGCUAUUGGAACCAAAAAUUAUUUUAGACGAUGUGUGAUUAUUUUAGCAUAUACUGAUCACCCGGAAUGUUCAAUGAUCUUUCGUUUUGUAUUUCUUGGUUCAAGUAUUUGCUAAAUAAAGUUACAUUCGGUUUAGAUAAUUUGUCUAGACGUCAGAUUUCAAGUAGUUUGAUGAUGAAUAAUUGUCUAGACAAGAGAUUAAGUAAUUUUAUAAAUUUAAACUUUGUUUUAAA